CAUGUCUUUUUGAUUAUAAUUUAAGGUUUAAUCUGCUCAAUGAGGAAUUAAAUUGCCGCGGUAUUAUGACCGUGCGAAGGUAGCAUAAUAAUUAGUUUUUUGAUUGAAAGCUGGAAUGAAUGAUUGGACGAGAAAAUUACUGUCUCUUUUUAAUUUUUUAUUGAAUUUAACUUUUGAGUUAAAAGGCUCAAAUUUUUUUUAAAGACGAGAAGACCCUAUAGAGUUUAAUAAAUUUUUUAGUUUAGUAUUUUUUGGAAUAGUAAAAAAUUUGAAUUAAAAAUUUAUUUGGUUGGGGUGACUAGAAGAUUAAAUAAACUCUUAUAAAAAUUUAAAUCAUUGAUUUAUGAUAAGGAAAUCUGAUUUUUUCAAAUUUAAGAUAAAUUACCUUAGGGAUAACAGCGUAAUUUUCUUUUAAAGUUCUUAUUGAAAGGAAAGUUUGCGACCUCGAUGUUGGAUUAAAAUUAAUUUUUGGUGCAGAAGCUUAAAAAUUGAGUCUGUUCGACUUUUAAAAUUUUACAUGAUCUGAGU
rnacentral:rRNA from 1 species